CCUUCGAUAGCUCAGUUGGAAGAGCGUGGGACUGUAAUGGUUAAUGUGCUAGUUAUCCCGAGGCCGCUGGUUCGAUCCCGGCUCGAAGGA
rnacentral:tRNA from 1 species